ensembl:miRNA
GGGUUAGCCAAAAAGUUCGUUCGGGUUUUUCUGUAAGAUGGUACAGAAAAAUUGGAAUGAACAUUUUGGCCAACGCCA